rnacentral:rRNA from 1 species
GAGUUUUGAUCAUGGCUCAGGAUGAACGCUAGCGACAGGCCUAACACAUGCAAGUCGAGGGGCAGCGAAGAGGUAGCAAUACCUUUGUCGGCGACCGGCGCACGGGUGAGUAACACGUAUGCAAUCCACCUGUAACAGGGGGAUAACCCGGAGAAAUCCGGACUAAUACCCCAUAAUAUGGGCGCUCCGCAUGGAGAGCCCAUUAAAGAGAGCAAUUUUGGUUACAGACGAGCAUGCGCUCCAUUAGCCAGUUGGCGGGGUAACGGCCCACCAAAGCGACGAUGGAUAGGGGUUCUGAGAGGAAGGUCCCCCCACAUUGGAACUGAGACACGGUCCAAACUCCUACGGGAGGCAGCA